UCCCACAUAGCUCAGUCAGUAAAGAAUCUGCCUGCAAUGCUGGAGACCUGGGUUCGAUUCCUGGGUUGGGAA
rnacentral:tRNA from 1 species